rnacentral:pre_miRNA from 1 species
UGGACAGAUAUUGUAUUCACGGUGUGAAAUAGGGGAUUACACUGUUUUUAAAUGGAAAAUGAAUCAAUUAACAUAAUAGACUCCU